UACGUAGGGGGCAAGCGUUGUCCGGAUUUACUGGGCGUAAAGAGCGUGUAGGCGGCCCGGUAAGUCCGCUGUGAAAGUCGAGGGCUCAACCUCGAAUGCCGGCGGAUACUGUCGGGCUAGAGUCCGGAAGAGGCGAGUGGAAUUCCUGGUGUAGCGGUGAAAUGCGCAGAUAUCAGGAGGAACACCUACGGCGAAGGCAGCUCGCUGGGACGGUACUGACGCUGAGACGCGAAAGCGUGGGGAGCAAACAGG
rnacentral:rRNA from 1 species